rnacentral:rRNA from 1 species
CUCCUUAUAUGUUCUGGGCCGCACGCGCGCUACACUGAUGCAUUCAACGAGCCUAUCCUUGACCGACAGGUCCGGGUAAUCUUUGAAUCUGCAUCGUGACGGGGAUAGAUUAUUGCAAUUAUUAAUCUUCAACGAGGAAUGCCUAGUAGGCGCAAGUCAUCAGCUUGCGUCGAUUACGUCCCUGCCCUUUGUACACACCGCCCGUCGCUCCUACCGAUUGGGUGUGCUGGUGAAAUGUUCGGAUCGGCCGUUUGUCGCGGUUUCCGCGUCAUGUGGCUGAGAAGUUCAUUAAACCCUCCCACCUAGAGGAAGGAGAAGUCGUAACA